GCUUUGUUUCCUCAGUCCCGUUCCGGCUCCCAACGGCGCACACCAGCUUUGUGUUGGAAGCUCUGAUCCGCCACACGACGCCUCCGCUUCCCCCGCUCUCCAAUGUCACAGCGCUCUGAUGUUUGUUGGGACCUAGAAGAGCAAACCAGAACAUUUUUGUUUCUAAUGGGAAAGCAGUGACAGACAGCGCUGCACGUAAUGUAAAUACCCAUCCACUUGAGUGCAGCUGUUUCUCUUAGAUGUGUUAUCCCUGUUUUUGUGCUCUAAAAGCAGGCAAAGUGCAAGCUUGGAAAUUCACGAACAUGAACUUAGCUGUGCAGAAUGAGGUGAGCACGAUGCAUGUUUUUCUCCAAGUCCCUUUGAAGUGUUAUUAUGGGAUUACUCUACUGAUUUUGACUGUAGAAUCAGCAUUUCCAGACACGAGUAUAUUGUCCUUAAGUUCCAUUCCACUCGUCAAAGACUGGUGGCCUGUGAGUGUGUGAAUGCAGUUUCCUGUCUCCACAUCCCAAACUCGGAUGGAGGUGUCAAGAGAUCCGCUCACCACAUGGAUACCAUCAAACUGCAAGAAAGCCAUGAGUGUAGGCUAACACCAGUGACAACUGACUACGAGCUUCCACGAGAAUGGAGAAAAAACACACAUACAGCAAAGCUGUUUUAAGACCAUCGUAGAGACAGCUGAUGCUAUUUUGAGAAGUCAUGGAAGACAGACAAGACUUCAGGUGGCAGUGCCUGGAAUUGAUGCUUUCACUCCACGAAUGAACAAGAUGAUCUUUUGGAAUAGUAAAGCGUGUGCAGACAGGUCUCGGUCUCCGGAUCCCACACUUUGACCAUAAAGUCAUAUGCACCACUUACAACCCUUCUGCCAUCAUACUGAACGCAUCGAACUGCAGCUACGUGGCCCAUCAGAACAUGUAAACACUGGCCCGUCUCUAUGUCCCAAACUCUCAGUGUAGCAUCUCGAGAACCACUGACCACUCUGGAGGAACAAGAAAACCCCUCCUAUAUUUAGCGUUGGAAAUAAAAGCGUUAAAACAAUAUAAAUCAGUUUGAAGUUUUCAUCUGGGAUGACUAGACAGCAUUUGUCCACUAGGCACCGAAGAUCUGGUUUGGUAUGACAUUUUAUUAGGGAUGCAAAUGACUCAAGUGCGUUUCUUCCUCACCCUUCUCGUCUCUCCAGGAUCUAUUUGAUAUAAUUAGCAAUCUCUAUUUAAAAAGCACUUCAGUCCCGAACAGCAAAAUGAUGCCAUGAGAAACUAUGUGGACUACUGUAUCCACCCAUAAAGCUUAUGAAUAUGCCGAGUUCAAAUUAGCACUUUGAGCAUCCUGCUUAAAUGACUGAAUUAACUAAUUAUAACAAUUAAAGAAGAUCUUUUGAAGUUAUACUUUUAGCAAAGGAACGUUUAUUCUGCCUGUUUUUUUUCUCAGUUUAUACUUUUUAAAGCCUUUUUAGGCAAGCACAGAAGUGAGAAGGAAUUAAUAUUAGUAGCACAGAUAAAGAAAAACCUCCGCAUUCUUCAAAAAAGAAAUGUAACCAACGGGCACUUGGACAACAGCACCAUACCACAGCCAAGUAAAGUAGCUCUGCCAAUGUUCCUUGAAUCAAGAAUUUCUACUGCAGAAAUGAUGAUACAAGAAGAUUAUCUUCAGCCAGAAUCCUCCAAUAACGGCACGUCUGAGCUGCCUGCAGAAGGUCCCUGGGUUCCAGGAAUGACAGCACGUACAGCGCCAACUGUAAGAAAAGG